rnacentral:rRNA from 1 species
GGAUGUCAGUUUGGGUAAGUGGCAUGGAAAUGUCUACCGCGGAGGGUGAAAGUCCCGUCCAGCCCAUUCAGGACAUUUCGCACGAAGUUGCUCAUAUGAGUCGCGUAGCUUGUGAAUGCUGCGCUAAGUCGGUGGUAAAUCUCAUCGAAGGCUAAAUACUGGUAGGAGACCGAUAGUGAACAAGUACCGUGAGGGAAAGAUCAAAAGCACUUUGAAAAGAGGGUGAAAAGAACCUGAAACCGUUACGACAGAAGCGUAUUGCGUUGAAUUGAGGGCUGUUUAACUCUUCAGCUGAACGUGAGUUUAGUGUACUGAGUUAAGUAGUUAUCCGUCGUGCCUUUUCUGUGGCUGAUAUUGAGCCGCGGGAGAGGGAGGGAUCCCCUUUAUGGGUGAGGACGAUGGAGUGGCAACGCGAUGCGACCCGUCUUGAAACACGGACCAAGGAGUCUAACAUGUUUGCGAGUUGAAGGGUAGUAAACCUGGAGGCGCAGUGAAAGCGAACUUCUAAAACGGACAGUUUGUGGCGGCAUAAAAUCGUUGAUUUUAGGUCUGACUAAGAGCAAAUAUGUUAGGACCCGAAAGAUGGUGAACUAUGCUUGAGUAGGCCGAAGGCAGAAGAAAUUCUGCUGGAGGGCCGAAGCGGUGCUGACGUGCAAAUCGCUCGUCGAACUCGAGUAUAGGGGCGAAAGACUAAUCGAACCAUCUAGUAGCUGGUUCCCUCCGAAGUUUCUCUCAGGAUAGCGGGCCGACAAUUAUUGUUUUGUGCGGUAAAGCGAAUGAUUAGCGCACUCGGGGGCAUUCAGUCUUCGGUCGAUUCUCAAACUUUUAAUGCGCAAGGGGGCUGCAGCUUAGGUGUGCGGCUCCUCUAAAAAUGUCGGCCUUGUGGGCCACUUUUGGUAAGCAGAACUGGCGAUGUGGGAUGAACCAUACGCGUGGUUAAGGCGCCAAAUUACUCGCUUAUAGACCCCAC